rnacentral:rRNA from 1 species
CAGCCGCCACGGGAAUACGGAGGGUGCAAGCGUUAAUCGGAAUUACUGGGCGUAAAGCGCACGCAGGCGGUUUGUUAAGUCAGAUGUGAAAUCCCCGGGCUCAACCUGGGAACUGCAUUUGAAACUGGCAAGCUAGAGUCUCGUAGAGGGGGGUAGAAUUCCAGGUGUAGCGGUGAAAUGCGUAGAGAUCUGGAGGAAUACCGGUGGCGAAGGCGGCCCCCUGGACGAAGACUGACGCUCAGGUGCGAAAGCGUGGGGAGCAAACAGGAUUAGAUACCCCUGUAGUCCCUGUCUCUUAUAC